AUAAAUAAUUUGUUUAAUUUAAGUCAAACUUCCAAGAAAAGCUCUUAUUACUGUUAAAUUAAAAUAACCUGUACCCUAAACUGACACAAGUAGGUAGGUAGAGAAUACUAAGGGGCGCGAGAUAACUCUCUCUAAGGAACUCGGCAAAAUGGCCCCGUAACUUCGGGAGAAGGGGUGGUGUUAUUUUCUAAAUAACUCCCGCAGUGACCAGGCCCAGGCGACUGUUUAUCAAAAACACAGGUCUCCGCAAAGUCGUAAGACAAUGUAUGGGGGCUGACGUCUGCCCAGUGCCGGAAGGUAAAAGAAGUUGGUUAUUCUUUAGAAAAAGCUGACGACUGGAGCCCCGGUGAACGGCGGCUGUAACACUGACAGUCCUAAGGUAGCGAAAUUCCUUGUCGAGUAAGUUUCGACCCGCACGAAAGACGUAACGAUCUGGGCACUGUCUCGGAGAGAGACUCGGUGAAAUAGAAAUGUCUGUGAAGAUGCGGACUACUUAUACCAGGACAGAAAGACCCUAUGAAGCUUGACUGUAAUUUGGAAUUGAGUUCGGGCUUUUUUUGCGCAGUCUAGGUGGGAGGCAUUGAUGUAAAAUUUUUGGAUUUUAUGGAGCCAAAAUUGAGAGACCACCCUAAAAAGGCUAGAAUUCUAAUAGGACUCCUUGAAUCAGGAUCCUUGACAGUUUCAGAUGGACAGUUUGACUGGGGCGGUGAUCUCCUAAAAGGUAACGGAUAUGUGCAAAGGUUCUCUCAGGCUGGACGGAAAUCAGCUAUAGAGUGUAAAGGUAGAAGAGAGCUUGACUGCAAGACCAACAAGUCGAGCAGGGGCGAAAGCCGGCCUUAGUGAUCCGACGGUUCCGAGUGGAAGGGCCGUCGCUCAACGGAUAAAAGUUACUCUAAGGAUAACAGGCUGAUCUCCCCCAAGAGUUCACAUCGACGGGGAGGUUUGGCACCUCGAUGUCGGCUCAUCGCAACCUGGGGCUGGAGUCGGUCCCAAGGGUUGGGCUGUUCGCCCAUGAAAGCGGUACGUGAGCUGGGUUCAGAACGUCGUGAGACAGUUCGGUCCAUAUCCGGUAUAAGCGUAAGAGCAUUGAGAGGAUCUCAACAUUGUACGAGAGGACCCGAAGGGACGUACCUAUGGUGUACCAGUUCUUAUGCCAAUAGGAAACGCUGGGUAGCUAUGUACGGAGUGGAUAAUCGCUGAAAGCAUUUAAGUGAGAAGCCCACCUCAAGAUGAGUGCUCUCUAUUAGAUCACGGCAAGACAAGCCGGUACAUUGGUAUCAAGUGUAAGAUUAGUAAUAAUUUGAGCUGAGAUAUACAAACGA
rnacentral:rRNA from 1 species